CAGUCACGGUUGGCAUCUCCAUCACCAUUGUCUAUCGCGUCAACGGAUACGAAGCAGGCGUCAUGUCUGACGUAGAGAUUACAGCCGAGGAACUGCCUGUUGAAAUUACAGCAGAAGACGAACCAGAACAAGUACCCGAACCAGCGCCAGCAUCAGAAAAUGGAGAAAAUGACAAAUCUGAUAAGCCGAAAAGCAAGCGUGAAAAGAAACAUUCACGAUCAAGAUCACCUAGGAGGUCAAGGUCA